rnacentral:rRNA from 1 species
CUUGGAUGUUCAAAGCUCCAGCGCCUGAGGAUGGGUCUGCGGCCUAUCAGGUCGUAGUGGGUGUAACGGACCCACUAGCCAGCGACGGGUACGGGCCUUGAAAGAGGUAGCCCGGAGAUGGACUCUGAGACACGAGUCCAGGCCCUACGGGGCGCAGCAGGAGCGAAAACUUCGCAAUGCGGGAAACCGUGACGAGGGAAUCCCGAGUGCUCAUACAAUGUAUGGGCUUUUAUGAUGUGUAAAAAGCAUUAGGAAUAAGGGCUGGGUAAGACCGGUGCCAGCCGCCGCGGUAAUACCGGCAGCUCUAGUGGUAGCCACUUUUAUUGGGCCUAAAGCGUCCGUAGCCGGUCAGGUAAAUCCUUGGGUAAAUCGUACCGCUUAACGGUGCGGCGGGGGGAGGAGACUGCUUGACUUGGGACCGGGAGAGGUUGGAGGUACUCCUGGGGUAGGGGUGAAAUCCUGUAAUCCUAGGUGGACCACCGGUGGCGAAGGCGUCCAACCAGAACGGCUCCGACGGUGAGGGACGAAGGCUAGGGGGCGCGAACCGGAUUAGAUACCCGGGUAGUCCUAGCUGUAAACGCUGCAGACUUGGGUGUUGGGAGAUCCUACGAGGGUGUCCAGUGCCGGAGAGAAGUUGUUAAGUUUGCCGCCUGGGAAGUAUGGCCGCAAGGCUGAACUUAAAGGAAUUGGCGGGGGAGCACCGCAACGGGAGGAGCGUGCGGUUUAAUUGGAUUCAACGCCGGAAAACUCAACGGGAGCGACGGUUACAUGAAGGCCAGUUUGAAAGACUUUGCCUGAUUUUCCGAGAGGUGGGUGCAUGGCCGUUCGUCAGUUCGUACGCAGGGCGUUCUGUUAAGUCAAAUAACGACGAGACCCUGGUCUUAAUUUGCUAAGUUCCUUUGGGGGGAAGGCACUAUAGGAAAUCGCCACUGCUAAGUGGAAGAAGAGGGCCACCGUUAGUUCACAGUAUGCCUGAAUCUUCCCGGCCAACGACGGC